GUGCUCACUUCAGCAGUGCAUAUACUAAAAUUGGAAUGACAGAAAGACAAGAUUAGCAUGGCCCCUGUGCAAGGAUGACAGGCAAACUCAUGAAACAUUCCAUAUUAAA
ensembl:snRNA U6 U6 spliceosomal RNA